rnacentral:lncRNA from 1 species
CUUUUUGGGGAGCAGGCUGGUGGGGCUUAGAGGUUUCCGGGUUGGAUCAGGCCUUCAGUCCCCUCUAGAGGGACCGGAAGAUUCAGGGAAGGUACUUCCCCUUCCCUUUCAGCCCUUUCUGAAGAAAGUGUGAGGGUUUCUUCUGCCCCCUGGUGGAGACGGGGUGAGCUGCUGCUGGUAUGUGAGCUGAGGACCAACCAGCAUCUCUCAUCUCUGCUGUGCCCUGCCUGCUGCUGCCCUGCCGGUUAUGAGGUGGCUGCAGUCCGGGUACUGCUCCUCUUGGGCUGGGACAGUGAGGUCACGGCACCCCCCCAUCCCCAUGUGCUCUGAUUCCAGGAGUUCUGUCUCUUUGCUGUCGUGGGGCUGGUGUCUGACUUCUUCCUUCAGAUGCUGUUUUUCACCACUGUCCUGUCCAUUGACAUUCGCCGGAUGGAGCUAGCAGACCUGAACAAGCGACUGCCCCCUGAGGCCUGCCUGCCCUCAGCCAAGCCAGUGGGACAGCCAACGCGCUACGAGCGGCAGCUGGCUGUGAGGCCGUCCACACCCCACACCAUCACGUUGCAGCCGUCUUCCUUCCGAAACCUGCGGC